rnacentral:rRNA from 1 species
AUGUCUUUAUGAUUAUAAUAUAAAGUCUAAUCUGCCCAUUGAUUUUAAAUUAAAAGGCCGCAGUAUAUUGACUGUGCAAAGGUAGCAUAAUAAAUAGUUUCUUAAUUAGAAGCUUGAAUGAAUGAUUGAAUGAAAUAUUUAUUGUCUCUAAUAAAUUGAUUUAGAAUUUAAUUUUUUAGUUAAAAAGCUAAAAUAAGAUUGAAGGACGAGAAGACCCUUUAAAACUUUAUAGGCAUAUUAAUUAAUAUUUUUAAGAUAAGAAUUUUAUAUUUAAUUGUGUUUAUUUUAUUGGGGUGAUAGGAAAAUUAAAUUAACUUUUUUUUUAUAAACAUUAAUAAAUGAGUUAUUGAUCCAUAAUUUAUGAUUAAGAGAUUAAGUUACUUAAGGGAUAACAGCGUAAUAUUUUUUAAGAGAUCAAAUCGAAAAAAAAGAUUGCGACCUCGAUGUUGGAUUAAGAUAAAUUUUAGGUGUAGAAGUUUAAAGUUUUGGUCUGUUCGACCAUUUAUUCUUACAUGAUCUGA